CUCACCCGUUUCCCCCAGCCCAGGAAGCACUUUCCACCACACCCGGGGUUUCUUACAGGUCAAAGCUUUUUAUUUCAAUUAUGAGCCUUGGGCAGAAUGUCAACCAAAACAGUUAUUUGCUUAGUUUGGGCUACCACCCUGCCUCUGAAACGCCUUCCUUUCAGUUCCUCUGCUUUGGGGACUAUUGUAGGACAUUGCCUGAAACUUCAAUAGGGAGCAUCUGGACAUGUUUCAGAAGGUUUUGCAGCUGUAUAGGGCUGACUGGCCAGGGGUCUCUCCAGCCUGUUCAAGGAGCUGUCUUUUGUGCUGAGAAAACUCUGUUUGGUACAGAACACCCCUUUUUCUACAGACUUGACUCUUGUGGCUUUCAGGCUUCAGAGCUCCGUUUUGAUUGCAGAUCUGAGGAAGAAAUAUUCUUCGCCACACAGCACUUGAGCAAGUUUCUGCCCAGAUGCAAAGAAGUGUCUCACAGUCCCAAGCCCAGUUUCUUCUGAGCACUGAAAUGUCCAGGAACAUCAAUUUUUUCCAGUUCUGAUCACGGGAUAAUUCAGUUUGGAAGGAACCUGGUGAAGUGUCUGGCCUAACCUCCUGCUACAAGCAAGGCCACACCAAGUUACUCAGGGACUCAGGGAUUCAGUUGGGACUCAAAAACUGGAAGGAAUGGAGACUACACAACCUCCCUAAGCAACACAAUAUCCCAAUAAGAUAAUAUAGUGCAAUUAAUUUCAUGGGGAAAUCCUUAAGUCACACUCUUUUCAAGAUGUACAUCCUUUUACUAGAUUUCCUCAAAAGCAAGAGAAUUAAAAAGAACUGAAAAACAUUCCCAUCUCAUUCUAUUUUCAUUUUUCACACGUUAACUUUUUCACUAGUUGAACUUUAUAAAAAUUAUCAGUGUGAGGCUUUUCUUACUUGUGAUUCAAAAUACGUAUGUUUGAAAAGGAAUAGGUUGGGGUUUUUUUCAAAUUCAAGAUAUUUCUCUCAACAGCUGCACCUGAACUUAUCUGAGACCCCUGAGAUUGCAUACCCUGGUUCCAGACGUAGCUCUAUUUGUCCACAGUGUGUGUAACAGCAAUAAUAAUAGCGCCAGCCUGGUGUGUGAGCCCAGCUUGCUGCUUUCCCUGUGGCCUGCUGUAAAUGAACACAAUUGCUCGACUGACAUUUCCAGUAUUCUUAAGCUCAGCUAGACCAUUUAGUCAACCCUGACUGUUCUGAUUUUACAAAAAAAAGAUUACAUAUUAAUUUCAACUCUUUGUGCUACAAGAACUUAGUCAUCUAUGGCAGUUUUACAUAGCACUUUUUUUGGGUUUUUUU
rnacentral:lncRNA from 13 species